UCGUAGUUUAUGAAUAACAAAGACUCAGUACUUAAAGUACUAUUCAGAUAAAAUUAUGCUGAACGUUACCCAACACUGGCCAUAUACCAUCUUGUGUUGAACCUUUUCAGCUGUAAUAAGUCUUCCAUGGAUAGCAUCACAAGUCCUGCAGGAAUCAGUUCAAUUUUACGCUGAUGUCUGGUAUCCUUUUACCAUAUCGCCCAUCUCUGCAUUUAUAAUGAUCCUAGAAUUUUUAACGAUACUGUAUACUGCCAUGGCCUUUGUUUGUCUCGAAACCUACUUCAUCAUUGUGGCCAAACACUGUUGUGCACAAUUAAAAAUCCUCAGCAGUACCAUUGAGCAGUAUAAUGGACGUAUUCUGCAUAAUAUUCCCACGCAGCAGUACGAUUGUGCUUGUACUGAAUGCAUUGUUAUGAGACACGUUGAAAUAAUCGAAUUUUUCAAGUCAAUCAAAAAAUUGUUUCAUCCACUUAUAUCGACUAAUUUGGUACUGGGACAGAUGUAUAUUCUUGCAGCAGUUGUUACGUCCUUUAAGGUAAAAUAAAUUGGGUUCAAGCGUUUUUUUCUCUCUAAUUGUAAUUUUCUUCCAAUUAUUUGAUGCCUAAAGGUGGUUAGACGAUGUUUUUGUUGAAUUUUUUCAUGAAUUUCUAUAGUAUCCAGUUGCUCAGUUGGUAAGAUCACCCGGUGUCAUACUGGGAGACUCAAUUGUGCUUUAUACUGUUUUUUAAGGUUUGUUAUAUUGUAAAUAUUUAUUAUCUGAGAGAGAAAAUGUUUUCGUUAAUUCGAAUUCUCUUCGAUUUUUUUAAAGAUCAAUCAAAGUGAGUAGACCAAGUAGCCAUAUUCUUUAUUGUUUCGUACGACAUUGUUUAUUCAUAAGUGUUCAACGUCUUCAUUGUAAAAUGACUUUUCUUCCACAGUUAUAAUCUUCAAGCUAAUGAUAUUGGCCAAAUGCAAUUCCCUUAAUAAAAUUAUUUUUUUUUCUGUCAGUGUAUGAGGAACUUGUAUUUGGUAUAAUUUUGGACUAACAAUUAAUUCCAGCAAAGCGGAUCUGCAAGUAAUUUUUUUCUCGUCAUUUGUUGGAUGUCCGGAUGUCUGGGAAUUCUGACAAAACUCCUAUAUUGCAACGUCGGUGAAGAGCUCAGACAAGAGAGUCUCAACGUAGGUGAUGCUGUAUUCAAUUGUCAAUGGCAUGAACUAGAGGGAAUCGAUGCUAAAUCAAGCUUGAUGACGAUGAUUAUUUCACAAAAAAUGCCUAUGGUGAUAAUGGCUGGUGGGAUUUUUCCAGUUUCACACGAAUUAUUCAAGGACUGUGUCUUCUCGGUGCUUUCGGUGUUCUCACUCUUCCGGUCCAUCUAUAAGAAGACCAGUCGAUCACCGACAACUGAAAUUUGAAAAUAAAAAUGAAUAAAUAAUGAUCCAGAAUAGGAAACUUCCAGAAUUAUCUCCAAAUUAUCUCAAAAUUUUGAGAAGUCCCCUAGGUCUUCCCCGACUUCUCCAGCAACGGUUACAAUCCCUGAUGAGGAACAGGAGGAUGUUGCUGAAGACACAGCGGACAUCAUCGCCAACGUGUUUCUCUUCGUACUGUCCGAUCUGCUGUUGAUGGCAUUGUGGUACAGACCUUGCAUCAUUGGCCCAUUGGCUGAGGAAAGAUGUCUUCGAGCCUCAUCGUAGGAUCUGGUCCUGAUUUAGUCAAAAAAUCCCGAAUGAUGGAAUUGGCUGCUGAAGCAACAAGUCAUAGAAAUCAUGAAGAUAAUACGCAAUUGACGUUAACUCCACACGAUUCUUCUCUCCCUCUCCUUUCUCAGGAUUGCGACCUAAUCAACCGGAUAUCUCUCCCGGUGAGCUUUGCUCACCCAUCUCACUCCUCUCCUUCCCGGGAUUCGAGAAGAUGAGUUUGGUCUCUAGUUCUCUCCCUCCUCCAUCGGUUUGAAGAAUCAGCUCCAUCGGCCUCAUAUUCCAUCUCCCCUUGACAGGGUUGACAAGACCUGUCGCGGACCAUUCUUUGCCCAAAUGGAAGAUGUGUCGUACUCGAAAGAUAAUUAAUGUUAGCCACUCAAGCUAAUCUAUACAUUUCUAUAGACAAUCGCCACCUAUCACCUCCUCUUCUUCUUUCUCCUCUUUAGCGGAUGUGAGUAGACGAUUUGCCUUCUAGCCUCUGGAUGCAGCUCCAGAGACCCGUCCCACUAGGAUACAGUUAUAUUGGUAACUCUCAGGGCUAAGUUUAACCAAAUCUCAUCGCCAGAAUUUUGUAUACCCGCUAAAUGGCAUUAAAAAAUUAAAAGUGAGACCUCUAUUAUGAGAAUAAUGGUUUCAGGGUCAGGGAUUCGGUUAACAAAAUGUAACGUUUGUUGUCAGCUUCUUUGGGCGGAUAGCUAAGCUGUUUAUAUUAUAUAUUGGGGUAACUGUGUCUUCUCUAGGUCCUAUCAUGUCACUCGUAAAAUCUUCACUUUAACAUUCCUUCGAUGUAGACGCCCCUUAAUUAGGCUCAAAUUCCUACAAUAAAAUUUGAAGCGUACUUUCGCCGAUUUCCCUAAUUAUCCGCCUAAUCGAAAUCCAUUAUCCGGAUCGCAGAGCUUAUUAUAAUCCUGGGACAAAUUUACAAGCCCCGAGUCAUAAUACCAUAAUAGCCUGCUGUCCUGGCCGCCUGACUGGCGCUGUAACACAUCCAGGUCAUUACACUGGUCCAUUAUCCUGAAAUAUUGUAUUGAAUAUUCUAGAAGAUAGGAUAUCUUACAGGUAACUGUCAUAAAUUAACGUUGGAAAAGCUCAAAAUAAAGGGUUCGUACUCGCAAAGGGAGUUUGUCAUUCAUCUGCAACCUGUUCACAUCCAUGAUAUUGUAUAU